AGAGCUGGAAUAGAAGAACAGCAGUAGGGAUGUGCCCGGAAACGCCUGUCGCCACGACGUGGGGAGCGCCCCUCCACAAAAACAGCCGGAGGAGCUCGGACAUCCUGGGCGGCUCGUCGGCAGUGAGACCCCCGCGCACGUCCAGUCCAGUCGGGGGAAACCGUACCUCCUGAUAUCUUAGCGCUUUGCAAGGUCUAAGACGCCUUCCUCCGUCGGGUCACAUCCCCGUUUGAGCUACCACCUAAGACGCGGAAAACUCCCUUUCAGAGAGUUAAAACUCCAGCCGGAGUCUGCAUGCCGUCCAGCUUCCGGGUCCCCUCCUCUUGGGACACGUAGGUGGAGCCCCGAGCCACCGAGUAAGUGAAAGGGCUCCUCGAACCACCCGCCACCCCCGUCCCUGCACAUUAGGCCUCCCACCCGCACCCCGAAACUGCCUCCCUCUGUGCCCUGAGACACCCCAGAGUGAGUCUGAUAAGCGCGCUGUGGCUCCAAGGAAUCCAGAAUAUGGACUCCAGUCUCCUUGUCUCACAAAACCAAGUCACCUCGCUCCUUCAACAGAGACUGGCCGGUAGGGAGGGACGGGCGCGGGGGACGGUCCCAAUUCUAGGUGGACUUACAGCGCAAGAGAUCCAACCCGCGCGCCCUUUGCCUGGACGGGAUCACCCGCUGGGGCACCACCAAAGCGCAGAGCGCGCCCAGAAGGACCUGAGCGGCGACCCCCCGCCGCGGUCAAUACCCGUUCGGGGCCAGCGCUGGUCUCCGCGGUGGCCGUGACCCUGCAGGGAAACGCCGGGAGCGCCCCUCCCACGUGCGUCGCGGACCUCUUGGGCCCGCUCAGUCCCCCGGAGUUGGCAGAGGAUCGCUCCUAGCGCAGGACUCCGGGCAGCUCGUGUUUAGAACGAGAGCGCAAAUUCUAUUUCCAAGAACUGUGACAACGUGAGCGGCCGCCCGCCAUUGCGCCGUCAUCAGGCUUGUUUACCAAUUUUAAGUCUUUAUCAUGCAGGAAACGUGAUUUCAUCAAAGUAGAAAAUAAACGCAAAAGAAUGCCCAGCCCCUAACUCGAGGACUUGUGUAUCCAUUAUCUCGGGAUUCCUCCAAAGUAGGGUUCUGGACUGCAGUUUUCCCAUAACUAAAUGUAAAGACAUGUGACCUUUGGGAACCGAGAAAAAAGGAUCCACAUCCCAUUGCCAAAGCAGUUACAGGAAGUCAUGAGAGGUCAUUAUUUCAGUCUCUUGCAAUGCAGAAAAGACCAGUUUCAUUUUGCACUGCUGUGGCUCCAACUCAGAACACAGCAUGUGUGUGGGCAGGGGUCAGAUGGGCCAUUGUUCCAUGAGUGGCGCCCAGAAGCCAAUCCCUGGGGCCCAUGGAGUCCAUGGAAGCUGCCCUGGCUGAGCCCAGGGCUUUCUCUGACCUAAGCAGCCAAAGAGGUGACCCGGCACCUAUCUCAGAAUCCAGAAAGGACACCUACUCAAUAAGUCUCUGAAGAAUGAACGGAAAGGAAUGCAUUAAUAAGUUAAUGAAGUAUGGAAGAGUUACUGAAACUGCUUAAUAUGGUCAUUGCUUCACAUACCUGAUGGGAAAAUCAUCACCCAGUAUUUUUUCUGAAAUAAACUGGGCUCUAGGCCUCCAACAGAUUGGAUGGGACCCACCCCAUCUUCUUUACUUGAGUUCACCGAUUCAAAUGCUGAUCCCCUCCGGAAACACCCUCCCAGAGCCACGGUGUGGAUAUGCCAGCCAGGAAUGGAGCCGAAGCAGGAGCAUGGUGGGCAAACUUCUCCUUGGGUCUCACCCUCCGGGCUGCAGGAAUCUAUUUCCAGAGUGCUGAGAUAUACCAGAUGGCAUCAUUUUCUUGGGUCUCGAGGUGCCUUUGGAGGAAGAGUAUGUGUUGAUCCAUAGGCCACAACAACUAAAAAUCCUAAGAUCUCUCUCAGCGGGCCCCGCCACCACCCGGUGUGGGAUUCCACAUUCACCUGAGCGCUCCAGAGGAGGGAACAAUUGGCCCCAUGCCAGGGGAUACCACAGUGGCAGCCAAAGACGCAAGUGGUGAUCCCCCAACCCCACCAUGAGGACAGUGCUCCAGGGCUCCCAACUGACCUGAAUUUGUAUGCAGUGACACGGUCAGAAACUCAAGAUGAAGUGUGAGAAGAUGGGCACCUCUUGGGAGUAGCCAGGGCCAGCCCGGAGGCAUUGAGCUGGGGACCAAGGAUAGAGCAAGUUGCAAAACCAGACCUGGUUCCUGUUCAUGUUGCUCAAACUGUAGGGGGGAGAAAAAUGUUGGUCAAAGACUUGUUGUGACCAAAUGUCAGAUGGCACCAGGACUAUUCUUCCCCCUGGGUGGAGACCGCCACUUGGUUGUCUGGAAAUGAUGGUGGCCAGUGUUCAGUGGGAAAAGACUGGAUCACCUAAAAGCAAUGGGCUUGCCAUUACAGCACCGGCUGCCAAUAGAAAGCCCUGAAUGCUUCAAGCCAGUGAAGGAGAAGCCACAUUUCCCACGGUGACUGCUGGGUCAGCAGCCCCUGUUGCCUUUCCACCCUGGGACAGGGUUUUAUAUUUUGAAGUAGGUUCAUAUCUGUUAUUCUUUGAUCAUCACAACAGCCCUUGAGGCUCUUCUUUUUCAGAUGAAGGUAUGAUGAUUCCUCUGCGGAGCACACGGUCCUGGAGCUGCAAGCCCUCCCCUCACUUGGCUCCAGGCGGUCUUCCUCCGCGCUUCAGGACAUCCUAUUUGUGGUACCUCAAGGUGGUAGUGAAGUAUGCCAAUCGUUAAUUUCGAUUCACUCUCAUGAAAUAUCUCUUAGUGGUAGACUCCAGGUGCCCUCAAAUGUGCUCUGUUUUAACAUUUCUCAGGCAGUCCCACAAGGGGGCACCAAGAGCUCUCUGAGUGGACCCAGUUCCCCCAGCCGUUGUUGCGAUAGUUUUAGGCAUUCCUUGUGCAUGACCAGAACAGAAAACUUCACACUGAUGAAUUUUGGGGCAAAAAAUGCACUUACUACAGCUUACUUGGUCAAAAUACUACUUUAACCCACUGGACGGAACUGGUUUCUUCUCAGAAGCACGUGCUAAAUGUAAGGGCUAUUUCCCUCACACCCUUAUUCUUGCCCUGUGUUAGUUCGUGGGGUAUUUUCUCAUAAUUAGGUCCCGCUGAUGUUUAUCAGAUCCUCCCACCUCUUAACAUUCCCCCCACGCCUCACGGCAUGUGGAUACAGCAACCCUAAGAACUAAGGUCUAGUGAUGUUCAUUUAAUGUUGUAAGCGCCUCAGAGGCAGGGCCCACGCCCUGUGCUUUGUGUAUCCCUGCAGGCGCCGUGCAGCAGGGCCAUCUUGGCACCCCCGUGAGGAGGGGGCUGUGGCCUGCACACAGCGGUCACUCAGACACCGGCCCACCAAGCCUCGGCGACACCCAGCAUCAUUUCCGCUGCAGUUUACUCACUGAGUCCACUGCAGGGGAGCUCCCACACACUUCAAGGCCUGGGGAAAUGGAGUCUCGAUGGGGCAGUGACAACAUUCUGGAAGAGCAUGUGGGACUAGAAAUAUGACUGUGUCCACUUUUGGAAGGUACAGUUGGCCUCGGAGUCUGUUGUGUGAUGGUGCGCACAGCAGACGGAGGUAACAGCAGCCUGCGGAGGGGCAGAUUUCCUUGUCACCAUGAAACGAUGUCCCCUACUCUCCAGUGCCAACCUUCCUUGUGCUCCCAGAAGGGCCGUCUCAGAGUGGGCAUCCAGUGGGCAUUUCUCUCUCCUCCUCAGUCAUGCUAUCCUACUGCCCUCCUGGCUCAGCCACACCAAUCCUCACGCCUUCCCCAGAUGCUCUGGUUCACAAUGUUCUCUCCCUUCUUAUACCACUGACUGAGCCCAUACACGCCUCCUCUAUCAUGAGUUAAUUUUCUUGUGUGUAUGUUUACCCCUCAACUAGAUAGUAACCCCUUGGCAUUUCUUCCACUGCCUUACACAGAAUGACCAUUCAAUCAGUGGUUCUUGGCUAAAUUAUGCAUUCAUUACAUCACCAUAAAGUUCAUCUCCAUGGGCUACAUAUCAACAUGGAAUAAAACUGCCACCCCAUGACCUAUUUAAAAAUGUGACAUCUCACGUGAGUGCUGGGAUGCUCUUCAAAGACAAGAAAAUAAAGGUUAUUUCCAUCGACUUCUUGAGGCUCUGUUAUUUUCCAUUGAUUGAAGGCUAUAUAUUUUUCCUAAUCUGAAAAGCCCAAUGAGGAGAAAAUUUGUGUCUACUCUCCUCCCAUCUCUUAAUAGCCCUGUUCCCAGCUGCCUUCAGUCUUGUUCUUGGCAGAGGGACAGGCAGAACCCUACUCCAAGGACUUGAAGAAUAUACCCUGAUUAGAGGUAAGAUACAGACCCCAAGAUGUGCUCUGGGUGAUGGGCAUCCUGCGGGCAAGAGGGAAUGAUGGCUGACCCAAGAUGAACUGUGGCUGUGAUGGUAGUAGAGGAUCUUAUUAUUUAUCCAAGCUUGGAUAAUGCAAAAAUCAGUUAUUUUUGGUUUACAAUAUGAUGUGCUAUUUCCAUGUCAAGUUUUACUUUUCAAAUUGUGUUCUGUUUAAUAUCACAAUAUCUCUGAAUGGCCUAAUGUGCACCCCAAUUUGUGGCAGUGAAAUAUGCCCUGGCAGUAUCUUAGGUUCAGGAGUCAUGAAGUCUGUACCAGGUGUCCAUUCACAGUAGAAGAUAUCUUUUUUUUUUUCAUCCUUAGUGGGCAAAUAGUGGCUACAUGAUUAAUUAAAAGGUGAGGAAAUGUUUUUUUUCCAGCACGUAAAGUGUACCUUUUUACUCCCUCCAUAUUUUUAAGUGAAGAUCGGGGCUCAAGGAGAAGCCUCAUUUUAUUUUUUGCACCUUAGAGGAUAAAAUCCUGAGGGCAGGGACACUUAGUCUCUUAGAGAAAACUCCAUGGCUUGUCAAUCAACACCAUGCAAAUACUGGGUGCAUGAAUGCCGGGUGGUAGGAACUCAAUAAUAUGUACAAAGAAUAGGAUGAAAGUUUCACAUAAAGUCUUCUUAUAUAAGAACAAAAUGAUGUAUUACAUUUAGCUGAAGCCUGAAAUGAAACAAGCCACGGACGGCUCUUGCUCAUUCCUUUGCUUCGCAUGGCUGUAUCUAUAGAUCUGGCCCUGGGGUCUGCAAUCAUUCAUCAUCCAAAGGCCACGGAGGCAUAAUUCCUCUCUAGAAUGAGACUGAUUGUGAACAUGGCUGGUACUUUGCAGUCAUGUCUCAGAAACACGUGGAGGCAUGGAGGGUGGGGGAUUCUGUCCAUACCGUUGCCAUGGCGCCACGCGGUGAUUCCACAACACAGCCUUCCCACAUUCUGGCCAAGCCAACUUGGAUGGUUUGCCCUGCGUGAUGCUCCUCAGGCUGGAAAGUGAUCAAGGUCGCUUCAGGAUUGCAGUUCUCAUUUUGUGUAUGGAAGUUUAACUCUGACAUGAACAUGAGCACAGGCUUCAGAUCUGCAAGGGGUGAUCCCAGGUGGUUUGUGAGUUUGCGGGGUGUACUGGUGUUUUAGCUGCAGGAUGCUUAGGUGCAGGAAGCUGUAGAAAUGGGAAUGAGAGCAAAAGGAGAUAGUGAGCUAAUGGCAAGGGCACGGGCGAUGGCUAAUUUUCAUGGUUCCAGUAUUUUAGCCUUUUCUACGAAAGAACAAAAAGGAAUUCAGGAACUUAAUGUAAACGUGAGUUUAAGGAUGUCUUUUGGAUUCUUGGCAGUGGCAGACCACCAAAUUGGGGCUUAUGGUUGUACAGGAGAGAGCUCCCUCCUGUCCUAAGCGUAGUGUGACCAGCAUGGAUAUCUACAAGCAGAGAAAUCCACACGUGGGCUCAGACCUCAUUUUAAUAAGCAAUUACAUGGGAGUAUCAAGAAUCCAGGGAACAAAGGUCACUAACUUCAUUUACUCAGUACCAGGAAAAACCUUGACCUGAGCUGAGAGGGCUCCUCCUGCUGGUGGCCCUGCAGCUGCUCAGGGGCGUCUCUGAAGUUGUGUCAGGAUUUCCACGCCCCUUCCACCUCCACAGCGGCGGGCGGGCUGCUCAGCAGGAUUUCCUCCCCAAGUCAACCCCGCCUCACCAGUCGGCCCUCAGCCCUGGCUACUUCACCAUUCGUCCUAGUUACCAAAAUGGAGGGGACAUCUCAAUAUUUUUCCAAACUUGCCCAGCUGAGGACUCACACUUAGCAGGGAACAGGUAAAAUGCCUGAGUGAAGGAGGAAGCAAAACUCCCCGACUGCCAGUGUCCGGCUCCUUUGGGCAGAUGCCCAACUUUGGGGAAUUCUUCCACUUCGAGUCCUGCCUCCGAUGGGGAGGCUUCAGAAGGCUUUGUUUCUGGGGCCAAGUUUCAGAGAGCGUACAGUAAAAAUGGACAUUAGAAUCGCCUUCCUCCAAAACUGUGUUACUCAUAUAAAAUUGAUCAAGAGCACAGACUCUGGAACCAAGCUGCAGGGGUUGAAUCCCAUCUCUGGUGCUUACCAGCUGUGUGACUUCAGGUAAGUGAUGAACUUCUCUGUGCCUCAGUGUUCUCUGCUGUAAAAUGGAGGUGAUAGCAGAGUGACAUAUGUGUAAAGCACUCCAAGUCAUGCCUGCACAUAAGUUUUAUGUUUGGCUGCUAUGAUUUUAAUACUUUAAUGAUUUUUCACACUUAAGGUUUUGAUUUCUUUGACAUUUUUGUGGUAAGAAGUGGAUAAGGAAUUAAGGAAUUCAUUUUUCUCCCCAAUGGUUAGCCAGUUAUCCAAAAUCACUUAUUGACUAAUCUGUCUUUCUACGCAUCUAAUGGGUUGAAUUGUGUACCCCUAAGUGUUGUUAAUGUCCUCACCCGCAGUCCCUCCGAUGUGACCUUACUGGAAAUGGGGGCACUGCAGCUGUAAUCAGUUAAGAAGGGGUCAUACUGGAGUGGGCAGCCUCUGAUCCAGUAUGUCUGGUGUCCUCAGAGGAAGAUGAAGACAGGACGCAGAGGGAAGAUGAUCACGAGCAGGCAGAAGCAGAGCCAGGAGGGAUGUGGCCGCAAGCCCAGGAGAAGGCCUGGGGGGCCAGAAGCCAGGAAAAGCAGGAAGGUCCCUCCUCGGGAGGCUUCAGGAGGAGCACGGCCCUGCCGACGCCUCGCUUUCACCCCUCUGGUCUCUAGGAAGCUUGCUGUGGUCGCACAACCCUCUUCUGAAGGGGCAGGGCCCCCACUUUAAGGGACCUGGGGCCCCCUUCACUCACAGAUGUUUAAUACCGACCCGCCAAGCUCAGCCACGAGUCACCAACCUCCUAGAAGCAUCGGAGCUUCUAGGCCGCAUCCCCAUCCGGGCCGCACCACUGACCAGAGGAUCCAGAACUUUCUGCCUGGAAUCUCCUGAGCUCACAGCCAGCCCUCUGCUCAGCUAGCCCUCUCUCUUCACUUUGGAGCUCCUAAGGGUUUCAUCCUUCAGGUCAAAAAUAAAGAACUGGGAGGAUUUUUUUUUAAGUUAUGGCAAAAUAUAGGUAUCUGGAUAUAUAUCCAGAAGUGGAAUUGCUGGGUCACAUAGUAGUUCUAUUUGUGACCUUGUUUUAAAUGUAGAUUCAGCGGCAUUAACUGCAUCCAGGCUUGGUGCAUGGACACAAGGAUUUUGAGGUCAAGCACAUAGAUGUGGACUCUAACAAGGAGGGACAUCACCACAAUCUCCAGGCCAAGAAAGGAAACACAGGGAGUUUGCUGGACAGGCUGUCACUCUCCGCAAGGGACAGGCUUCUCACUAGCUUGUCAGGAGGGUUUGGCAAGGGGCCUUUUGCCAGGGGCCUCCCUCCCCAGCCUCUGGUCCCUAUCACCAGCACGGAUCCCAAGACUGGUGCACUUGGGCCUCUGCUGCCCAGCUCUCUCUCCUCUCACCCUUGCCCGGUGGCAGCUGCAGACACCCCAGGCCAUGCACCUGCCCUGCAGACCCUGCUGUCACCAGACCACUGGUGAAGGGCCUGGCCUGUAUUACAUCAGCCUCUUGCUUAAAACUCCCCCAACAAGCCUGGCCAGGGGAGCCCUGCAGCCCUCCCCUCUCCAUUGGGUGCUAGAGUUUCCAGGCCUGGUGGGGAGCAGGCCAUGGAGAAGGUGCCGUCAGGUUUAUCAGAGUUCAUCUUGCUGUCUAACAGCAGGCGCCAGGCUGCCAGCAUCGCAGUGGCUUGAAUUUCAACCAUUUUCUCUGCUCAACACCUCUUGGGCGCUGCCACCCACACAUAAUAAGUUCCUUUCUUCCCCAGCAAGCUGGCAAAUGCAGCCCUGGACCCCCCACGUGGGGACACUCAGGGACACUCGGCUCCAUCAGACCGCCAGGCUGCUCACCUUCCUGGCGGCACCCUCAGCUGUAAUCCCAGCCGCCAGCGCAGAGGCGUGCCAAGGCCUCAUCGGCAGGAGUGGGUCAGCGUGCAAUGGCCGGGGCCUGGCUGUGGCAGGCUGUGUGGUCGCCAGCCGGUCACUGGGGUUAGCCUGCACUGGGACCCUGUAAGCAAGAAAGAACAGGCCUGCCUCUCUCUGACCUUACAGGGAGGUCUUGGGAACUGCUUUGCCUAAAUGGCAAAGUCCCAGGGAGGAAGGAACUAAAAAGGGAAAGACUAAAAAGCAACUCUAAGGUGUGUGGCUCAGGUCGGGCUCUGCUCCCAAGGGAGAGGCCGACGGGUGCUCACAGGCCCACAGGCGUGAGGUGGGCCUGAUGCAGCUGGAGGCACUCAGGUCUGAGUGUGUUUGGCUGUCCCUGAUGGUGGGUAGAGGGCUGCUUUAGUAAGAGAUUUACCUGGUACUUAGCUUUCCCUUUUUGAGAGCAAGAGAGAUUCCAUGUUUUAGAUUUCCUAUUUCAUCUGGUGCUCAAACGUGACCAUGACUCAAAAGACAUGACGCAUCAAGGCGCAAUGCGGUAAGAAAGUCUAUGCAGACGACAGCACAACUUGGUGUUGAGUUUCCUCUAUUGUCCGUUAGCUCUUUAUGUUAAUACACACAACACACCUCAUUUUAAUAGCCACAAACCACUUAAGAAUGUACCCACAAUCAGUGUACGCUGCCACCUUCUGAUGCCACUGAGGCUGUUUCUUAGUGCCUAUGUAUCUGUUUUUAUUAUUAUUAUUAGAAAGCAGCAAGGAGCACCUUACACACAAAUAUAUUUGAGUUCAUAAAACAAGUUCAUAAAAGUAAAACAAAAGGAAAGGCAGAUGCUGGGAUCGGUCGAGACCCCUGUGGCUCCGGGUGCCUGGGAACUUGCACGCUUCCUUCUCCAUCCCUCCGCUUGGCUCCUGGGUGGUGGACAGUGGAGGAGGGGCCUGACGUCCCCCGUGGUCUUAGGGUGGGGGUGAUGCGCCCCAGACAAAGGACAGGAGAGAAGGAAGGAGCAGCGGACAGAGUGGGCUUGUAGGCCUGCUCUAAUCAGGGGCCAUAGCCAUUCAGAUUUGUUCAUUUAUGUGACCUGAGAUGACAGCGGCCAUGCAAGUGAGGUUGGCAGCGACAGGAGGCCUUUACAUCCAUCAAGAAUGUCACCGUGGGCCAUGGGGCACCUCGCCCUCCUGCUCUCCAGCCACAAGGAGCUAACUCGCCCAGGCCUGGGGCCCCAGACCUAAGUCUACAUGCAGCCCUUUCCUGCUCCUGCCAGAUGCGUGCGCUGUCCUGGGACCUUGCUCAUGUCCCCUGCAGAAACUAGGACAUGUCACCCCGCACAGUGUGGGUAUCUAAGCAGGAGAGAGGGCAGCCCCCUGGUUCCCGCCGCAGCCUGAGGCUCUGCCCGGUGCAUCCAAUGGCUCAUUAAUCAUGGCAACAGCUGCACUGUCUGCAUCUCUUCCCAGGAGGACAAGUAGCAUUUAAAGGCCACCGGAUGUGCACAAGAGUUCUGUCUCUCUCUGUUUCAGUGACUCUAACUGGGCUGUGGGUUGGGCCCAUUCCCCAGCUGGCUCUCCCUGCCCCACCUCCCCAGAAGCUCCCAUGACUCUAGUCAGACAAUGACUUCCUUCAGAAAGCUGUUUCCCAGGAGGUUGCACCUAAGGAAAAGGGAGAAAGAUGAGCCUGGAGCAAUCCUAUGGUCCCCACCCAGCAGGAUCCCCUGCCUACUUCCCCCUAGACUAGAAGCAGAAAGCAGCCCCAUGUGCCACAGCAUGGGAGGCCCUCAGGGAGGGAAAGGUGAGGCCCGAGGCCCUGAGUCUGGGACGCGCUCCACAGUCCCAUUCUUUGUCCUGUGACGCUCAGCUGGUAGUCACAGGUGGGUCCUGAGGCAGGCUGCUGCAGUCUGCGGCAGGCACGGUGGCAGCCACCUUGGUUUUGUGAGCAGCCACGCAGCCAGGCUGGCCUCUGCUCAAAUGUGAGCUCUGCGAUGAGGGCAACCACUCAGGCUCCCUGAAAGUUUAGUUCUUACCAUUUCAUUUCAUUGCUUUACAGUGUUUUCAUUAAGAAUAAGUUGGCUCUUACAUAAAAUACUCCUAGGCAUUUCCCCCUCCAACCUUACCAGUUGUGCAAGACCUGGCUCAACCCGGGGCCUCUUCUGCCCCAGACUGGAAGGUCUCUUCCUUUUUAAACCCUCACACAUUUUAUCUGAAC